CAGUCGCCGCGGUAAAACGGAGGGUGCAAGCGUUAUCCGGAUUUACUGGGUUUAAAGGGUGCGUAGGCGGACUUGUAAGUCCGAGGUGAAAUCUCUGAGCUUAACUCGGAAACUGCCUUGGAUACUAUAGGUCUUGAAUCUCGUUGAGGUUUGCGGAAUAUGUCAUGUAGCGGUGAAAUGCUUAGAUAUGACAUAGAACACCUAUUGCGAAGGCAGCAGGCUAAACGAAUAUUGACGCUGAUGCACGAAAGCGUGGGGAUCAAACAGGAUUAGAUACCCCAGUAGUCCAUGUCUCUUAUAC
rnacentral:rRNA from 1 species